GAUGAACGCUAGCGGGAGGCCUAACACAUGCAAGCCGAGCGGUAUUGUUUCUUCGGAAAUGAGAGAGCGGCGUACGGGUGCGUAACACGUGUGCAACCUGCCUUUAUCCGGGGGAUAGCCUUUCGAAAGGAAGAUUAAUACUCCAUAAUAUAUUGAACGGCAUCGUUUAAUAUUGAAAGCUCCGGCGGAUAGAGAUGGGCACGCGCAAGAUUAGCUAGUUGGUGAGGUAACGGCUCACCAAGGCGAUGAUCUUUAGGGGGCCUGAGAGGGUGAUCCCCCACACUGGUACUGAGACACGGACCAGACUCCUACGGGAGGCAGCAGUGAGGAAUAUUGGUCAAUGGGUGCAAGCCUGAACCAGCCAUCCCGCGUGAAGGACGACUGCCCUAUGGGCUGUAAACUUCUUUUGUAUAGGGAUAAACCUACCCUCGUGAGGGUAGCUGAAGGUACUAUACGAAUAAGCACCGGCUAACUCCGUG
rnacentral:rRNA from 1 species